rnacentral:rRNA from 1 species
GAUGAACGCUAGCUACAGGCUUAACACAUGCAAGUCGCGGGGCAGCAUGGGGGUUGCUUGCAAUCCCCGAUGGCGACCGGCGCACGGGUGAGUAACGCGUAUCCAACCUGCCCUUCACCACGGGAUAACCCGGCGAAAGUCGGACUAAUACCGUAUGUUGUCCAUUGGCGGCAUCCGAUUUGGACGAAAGGUUUGGCGGUGAAGGAUGGGGAUGCGUCCGAUUAGCUGGACGGCGGGGUGACGGCCCACCGUGGCGACGAUCGGUAGGGGUUCUGAGAGGAAGGUCCCCCACACUGGAACUGAGACACGGUCCAGACUCCUACGGGAGGCAGCAGUGAGGAAUAUUGGUCAAUGGGCGUAAGCCUGAACCAGCCAAGUAGCGUGCAGGAUGACGGCCCUAUGGGUUGUAAACUGCUUUUAUGCGGGGAUAAAGUGGCCCACGUGUGGGUUUUUGCAGGUACCGCAUGAAUAAGGACCGGCUAAUUCCGUG